UCUGUGCAUAGGAGGAAUGCAGAACAAAGGCCAACCCAACCACUAUUAUGCUCUGAAUGGUGAAGAAAAUAAUGAGAGAAGUAGACUGAGCCAUUUAGGACUGAAGAACCCAGUGUCAGGUGGUGGACAGAAGUUAGGAGGACAUGUUUCCUAGGAUUGUGACCCUUUGUCAUCUGAACAGGCGCAUGACACAGACCCCUCAUAAUCUGGCAGGUUGAGUCCUAGGAAAAAAGAGAUCGCUCACAUCUGCCAGCUCUUCUCUAUCAGACGUAGUUUGAGUGCCAAACACUGGCACCUGGCUGGCCUUCCAGGAGCUGGCAAAUAUCCUGAAAGGCUGGACCAGAGAUGCUGCCCAAGGUAAGUGCAGAAAGAGUGAACACCUAACCCUGAUGGCCCGGGCAGGCAGGGCUGAUAACAGGCUCUGCUCACACUGAAUUUCCCCCCUUACCCUGCACCGCCUGCUUAGGACAAACAUAUUUUACUGGCCAUCACUUGGGGUUUGGACCUUUGUGUGUAUGCCUGUGUGUUCUCAGGCUUUUACUAAUCCCCUUCCUUGGUUUUUGAGGUUAGGAGCGUCUGGGAUUUGUGGAGGGAGGAAGGGUAUGAAAGGGUAAGGCAGGAGACCCUGGUGCCUGGAUUCAACCUCCCACAUUCCGGAGAUCCCUAGAGGCCCCUCUCCCCAGACCCUUCAGCUCCGAAAAGCCAUUGUGCUCCCUUCUGGCCUCUGACCCCGAGGCUCUGGGAAGCAGCAGGUUGUUGACACACGGACAAUCAUUUCUUGCAAAGCACAGGCCUCCCUCUCUCCUUCCCUCCCUAUCUCAGUGCUCACGAGCUCGCUCUCUCUCUCUCUUUCUCUCUCUCUCUCUCUCUCUGCCUUGCCCUGGUGACUUUUUCACAGCCAGGAAGGCAAGAGAAGCUGAGCAAGAGGGAAAUUAAGUCUCUAUGAGAGAGGAAAAGAAGAAGGGAAGACCCUCCCAAUUUUGGGUCCCCCAAACAUCUUAGUUGUCUGAGGGACCCUCCUCCGGUAGUCUACUACUAGUGCAGAAGUGUGAGUCCCCCUCCCCCCUGUACAGCCACGUGGAUCCCAGUAGUAUGUGAUGCUACCAGGAAGUGGCUCAGGAGGAGCGCUUCUUUUGAGAGUCUCACUUAUGUGAGGAGCCCUGCAUUUCUUCAUGAAGAAUCUCUCUGUGCCUGUCCUCUGUAGUCACGGGAACAAAGAGCUUCCUAGCCCUGUUGCUGCUGCUUGUGAGGAGGAGUAAGACUUCAGAUGUCAUUUGCCCUGUCAGAGGGUUAGUUUGCUCUUUGGCAGAAGUGUGUGGAAUAAGCUACUUGCCUCAUGGGCCUACUGUGCAGUGCACAUAGAGGUUUCUGUCAGGGAGUGCUUGACAAGCUUCAGAGCGCUCAACAGAUGCACGUGUGGGUUACUGAUGGUUCCCCAUACAGCUCUGGCUAGUAGUUUGUAUUAUUCUCAUGGGCAGGAUGGGAGUUCCAAGCUUUUUGUUCCUCCUGUUCUGUCUAGGCCAUUUCAAAAGCAUUUUUAGGAGAACAGGUGGGGUGGGAAAGAGAGUCCUUUAAAACUUCAAGCACCACUGUGUAUGCUUUUCGCCUUGGUUGGCUAGCCGGGAAACCAGUUAGCCCGAAUAAACUCAAGUGUGUGUCUCUGGCCACUAGGUAGCCCCAUUCAGCAGACUGGGUUUCUCCAGGAAAGAAAAACAGAAUGGUUUGUUAACUACAGAAAUAUCUCUCCCUUGUGCUCUCAUUCUGAAAGAAGUGGAUUAGUGUGGCCAUAUUUAACCCCUGACCCCGAGACAAAGGCAUUAUCAAAAUUAGUUACUGAGAGAGUCCGUCUUCCCCUCUCUGCCCCCACUUCCCUGUUUGCAGGGGCUUCACUAGGAGCUCGGUAAACUUCAGAGUCUGAGCAAAGGUUUCGGAGGCCAUGGUUGCCUUGGAGAUAUUCUAAAGCCCGGGCUGUGGAGAUAGUCUAAUAUGGACUGAAGGAUAGAGCCGGGAUCUGUACUCAUGUGUGGGCUCUUUCUGGCUUCAGAUGUUCCAUUGGAUUUUAGAACCGUAUUUUCCCAGUUUUUAACUAUAUGCUCAACUGUCACUUGAGCCUCAGAUCUUGAGUUGAUCUUAAGGGUGGCAUCCAGUGUCUUUCUCCGUCCAUCCCUCUGUCCGUCCUGGAGUCCAGUCCCUUUGGAGGUGGAGAUGCAGCUAGACCUAACUGAUUCUCAUUCUCUUUGUUAUUGAGUGUCUUCAUAGCCUGGGCUAACUCAACUCUAGACUGUCUUUCUAUCUGGGACAACACAAUGACAAUAAGCAUCCCCUUGAGCUACGUCUGAGGUUAGAUGACCAUGGGACAGUUGUCAGGGGUUAGUGAGUAUUAUCUGUCAUGGUCAGUAUUGUCCUUGUCAUCAGCAUCCUAGCCACAGCUUCCUCAUCACCUCCUUGGUCCCCAUCCUGUCCUCCUGGGAUAAUCCAGGCCACACUGGGGUUUUCUGCCUGGACUUCUUGUUUCCUGACUCUGCUUUCUCCCUGCACCUUUUUUUUUCUGGCUGUUUACAGACACCCCGCCUAGCCUUCCUGGAUGGAGUUUAAAGUUUGACUUUCUUUCAUUCCAGGAAGUCCAACUUGCCUGGCAGGAUCGGGAGGGAAAGGCACUUUCUUUAUAAGCUCUCGAUGAAAGCUGUAAAGCAAGCCGGUCAAGGGUCUGGCCGGCCCUGGCUCAGGAUUAAGGCCAGCCCUGGAAUGCUGAGGGGGCCUCUCUCAAGAAGCUAGUAUCUAUUUACAGUGCAUGUCUCAUAAACCCGAAAGCCAGGGUGAGGGCAGGGGGACUCGCCCUCCUGGCAUGUGAUUGAUUAUCUGGUAUUUAUGCCAUUGAGGACUUGUCAGCGGUCUGGGGUCACAGGGUCAUCUCGUGUGUCUUGCCGCCAUCCCGCCCUCUUUUGUACAGUGUGGGCCAGGGUGCACUGGGCACAAAACAGCUUUUUCUUUUCCUUGGGAAAAGGGGGAGGGGGGACCCGGGGCAGUGUCAAUGAAAAAAUGUUUUCAACCUUUCUCAAUAGUGCUCUUUUAAUUCUAAAGAACAUUUAAUUAAAAGUAGCAGGAAAAUUCAUCUUAGAAGGUUUAACUUACCUUAACAGAUACUAUUGUGACC
rnacentral:lncRNA from 1 species